AUGAAUCCACUAAUUGCUGCUGCUUCUGUUAUUGCUGCUGGAUUGGCCGUAGGGCUUGCUUCUAUUGGACCUGGAGUUGGUCAAGGUAUUGCUGCAGGACAAGCUAUAGAAGGUAUUGCGAGACAGCCAGAAGCAGAAGGUAAAAUACGAGGUACUUUAUUGCUUAGUCUAGCUUUUAUGGAAGCUUAG
rnacentral:rRNA from 1 species